ensembl:snoRNA SNORD108 small nucleolar RNA, C/D box 108
GCUUGAUGAUCAGACUCAUUAUUUCUUGAACCUGAUGACAGCUUUAUUCCUGUGAACAGAAUCCAAGGUC